UACCGUGAGGGAAAGUUGAAAAGCACUCUGAAUAGAGAGUUAAAUAGUACGUGAAACCGCUUAGGGGUUAAGCCUGAUGAACCCGAAUAUUUGAAAUGAGAAAUUCAUUAUUAUUAAGUAGCUGCACUUUGCUGUAGCGAACAAUGGUAUGCACUUUUCUCAGUGUAAAACAUUGCAAUCUAUUUGUAUAUCCGUAUGGAUGGUUUAUCAAAUGGCCCGUAUGGUUUGUUCAUUCCUAUCUGUGACAUUUUAUGUCAUAUGGUUGAUGCCAUAGCGGUGACCUGGUAAACAGCAGAUAGUUUUUAAAAAUCAUGCAACCACAUUUUAUGUGUAUCACGGUCCGUGUGCUUUUGUGCGCGGAUGCAGUGAUAGCAUGCAUUUGAUUGGCAAUGCGAUAGGUUUGGGAACCUUCAGGACCCGUCUUGAAACACGGACCAAGAAGUCUAACAUGUGUGCGAGUCAUUGGGUAUAUUGUUGAAACCUAAGGGCGCAAUUAAAAUAACUAUUUUAUAUGGGAUUACAAGUGAAUUAAAUUUCAUUUCUUCAUCCCGGGGCGUUCUAUACGAACAUGGUGCAAGCAAUUGUGCCCUCUGUUCAAGAGCGUACCUUGAGCAUACAUGCUGUGACCCGAAAGAUGGUGAACUAUACCUGAUCAGAUCGAAGCCAGGAGAAAUUCUGGUGGAGGAUCGAAACAGUUCUGACGUGCAAAUCGAUUGUCAGAAUUGGGUAUAGGGGCGAAAGACCAAUCGAACCAUCUAGUAGCUGGUUCCCUCCGAAGUUUCCCUCAGGAUAGCUGGCGCAAAGAAUUAUAUUGUAUAUAAUCUUAUCUGGUAAUUGGGGUUUAGAUAUAUUGUGCCCAGUGGGCCACUUUUGGUAAGCARAACUGGCGCUGUGGGAUGAACCAAACAUGAUGUUACGGCGCCUAAAUUAAUGACUCAUAUUGAUACCAUGAAAGGCGUUGGUUGCUUAAAACAGCAGGACGGUGGACAUGGAAGUCGUAAUCCGCUAAGGAGUGUGUAACAACUCACCUGCCGAAGCAACUAGCCCUUAAAAUGGAUGGCGCUCAAGUCAUAUGCCUAUACAUCAUCGCUAGAAUAAAAAUUGUUGACUUUCGGGUCAUCAAUAUGAAAUUCUAGUGAGUAGGAGGGUACAAUGGUGUGCGCGGAAGUGUUUGGCGUGAGCCUGCAUGAAGCCGCCAUUGGCACAGAUCUUGGUGGUAGUAGCAAAUAAUCGAAUGAGAUCUUGGAGGACUGAAGUGGAGAAGGGUUUCGUGUGAACAGUGGUUGAUCACGAGUUAGUCGGUCCUAAGCUUUAUGCGAAAGCUGUUUAAUUUAUGUUACAUACACAUUUAUUUUUGUUGUACAUAAUUCAAUAAAAGCGAAAGGGAAUACGGUUCCAAUUCCGUAACCUGUUGAGUAUACGUUUGUUUAUUAAAAAUGGGUCUUAUUACACUCAUCCUGGCAACAGGAACGACCAUAGAGAAGCCUUCGAGAGAUACUGGAAGAGUUUUCUUUUCUGCUAAACAAACGUAUCACCAUGGAAGUCUUUUAUAGAGAGAUAUGGUGAAUGGCUUGGAAGAGCAUGACAUUUACUGUUGUGUCAGUAUUUUCUCCUUGGACCUUGAAAAUCUAUGGUGGGGCCACGCAAACUUUCUCAACAGACCGUACCGAUAUCCGCAGCCGGUCUCCAAGGUGAAGAGUCUCUAGUCGAUAGAAUA
rnacentral:rRNA from 1 species